UAAGAGUUCUCAAGGUGGCUUCU
rnacentral:piRNA from 1 species